rnacentral:tRNA from 1 species
UUCCCUGGCCAGGGAUUGAACCUGGGCCACGGCAGUGAAAGUGCCGAGUCCUAAUCACUGGACCACGAGGGA